rnacentral:rRNA from 1 species
GAACGCUGGCGGCGUGCCUAAUACAUGCAAGUCGAGCGGACUUUAAAAGCUUGCUUUUAAAGUUAGCGGCGGACGGGUGAGUAACACGUGGGCAACCUGCCUGUAAGACUGGGAUAACUUCGGGAAACCGGAGCUAAUACCGGAUAAUCCUUUUCCUCUCAUGAGGAAAAGCUGAAAGACGGUUUACGCUGUCACUUACAGAUGGGCCCGCGGCGCAUUAGCUAGUUGGUGAGGUAACGGCUCACCAAGGCGACGAUGCGUAGCCGACCUGAGAGGGUGAUCGGCCACACUGGGACUGAGACACGGCCCAGACUCCUACGGGAGGCAGCAGUAGGGAAUCUUCCGCAAUGGACGAAAGUCUGACGGAGCAACGCCGCGUGAGUGAUGAAGGUUUUCGGAUCGUAAAACUCUGUUGUUAGGGAAGA